AGCUCAGUUUAAUUUAAACAAGAAGUCUCUGUUUAAAAAAACAGGCCAAAGACAAACACUGACCUGCUGUUUUUCAAAUGCAUGGAUAAGAUUUGUAAUCUUUUUUAUAUUUUUUUUAUAACAUUUGAUUCUUUCUGCUGGAAUGAUUUUAUAAAUACUCUUAACUUUGAAUCCACAUUUUUGAUCACAAUCUGUAACAAAAGGCUCUACAGCCUAAUAUUUUCAGCUAUACUUUAAGAAGUUGAGGUAUUUAAGUUCGUCCAUUUUGGUAAAAUAUUUAUUUUUCAAACUACAAGUUUGAGAGUAAGAAAAAUAUCAUUAAGCAUGAUAACCUAGAUCACAGUAUUGCAGCAGCCUAUUAAAUAUUCUCUAAAUAUUUUAGCACACACUUUAUGAACUAGAGAUUUAACUUCUUAUCAUAUUUUGUCUGUGCCUUUAACCUUUACACCAUUUUUGGGGGCCUUUUCAACUUUAUUUGACAGACACAGUGAAGAAAGGAGAGGAAAGCAGGGAGAGAGAGAGAGAGAGGAAAACAUGCAGCAGAGGGCCGCGGGUCGGACUCAAACCCGGCCCGGCCACUGUAAGCUGUAUGGGAUGUGGUCACCCGCUCAAUGCACUGACCUAAACUGGUGCCUUACUCUAUACACUACUAACUCAUAACCUAUAGCCCAAUAACCUUUACUUUGGUAAGUAAUAUCUGUGAACAUGUCUGCAACAAAGUAAAUAAAGAUGAUGUAAUUAUUAGAAAAUUAUUCUUCUGCAGAUCUGUGUCCCUCUGUAAAAUACAAACUGCAUGACUGUGUAUUUGUAGCUUAGUUGCUAUAUAAAACCACUCAAAUUCACAUCUACAUUUUCACAUAUUUUUACACAAAAGGCACUUUCAGAAUAUCCUUGAUGAGAUGCUGGGCAGUAAAGAAAAAGGACAAACUGAAUACCUGUUAAAAUUCUACCUACAUACAUAUAAAGUUUGACAUCAGCUUUUAAAAUAAUUACUAAUAAAUUAAAAGCUCACAGACUGGAUGUCUACUUGUUUUCCACUUUGUACCAUAAUUAGACAGAGACGAGGUAAAGUUUAAAGCAAGAAUAUGAUCACAGCUAUUAAAGCUGCAUGAACCCUGAGUCGCCUACAUUUUAAAUGACCUGCAAAAAUCAAAUUAUUUUUGCUCCGGCUGAACAAAGACGAUAGGAAGCUCAUAUCUUGUGACAAGAAGGGAGCACGGGGCGUGUGGGACAGAAGCUGAUAAUGAAUUACACAGUAGUAUUCGUAUGCCAAUUUAUAAGACACACGCUCAGAGCUACAAGAGCAGUUUUAAUACAACGAUGUAGCAGCGGAUGAAGUUGAAAACUGUUUUAUACUUUUCCAAACAAUGUUUGCAUAUUAAAAACACUCAACAUUUAUAUUUUACUUAAAAUAUUUGUUUUGUGAAGACAGGCUACAGCUCAGGCUGCGGCAUGAAACACUAAGAGUGUAUACGUCUCCAAGGGGAGCUCUUAGGAGGCUUCUUUUGACUGUGACAUUUCCUUGAAUGACAGAGAGAUCCUCUGGGUUACACUGUCAUGGCUAAAGGUUAAUGCUAUCGCCUGUUCUGGCCACAGUAACGCCACCCAGAAGACACACACACUGUAGUUACGCUUUACACUCACUGACACAUCAAAUCGUUGCAAUGGUUUGUUGAAACAUUAACACGCAGGCAUAUUGAGAUUAAACAUGUAUGUACAUACAGAUUUGGUGAUCUUUGUACAUAAAUAAGCUUCGGUGUGCAACAUGAGUGCUGGCGUACUGCUUCGCGUGCUUUCCUGAAUAACUUCUGACCUCUGCUUCACACAUGCUGCCCUGGGACACUCCUCCAGCUUAGUGCCACAACACAUAAAAAAGACUGGACACCAUAUUGUACGUGAGAAAAGGAAAACUAACACGAAAAAUAGUGAAUGUAUGUACUGUAUGUACAGCAACACACAAAUAUAGUGGACGCAAUUUGUCUGGGUGGGUGGAAGCAGAUCAACCUUGCAUCGCAACCUUCACUGCUUCACUUUAGUGACCCUUGCCUUUCCCACAGGAGUCCACAUACCUACACAAGCACACGCAGGUGGACAAACACCCCUCCAGCUCUGCACAGCAAAGGGAUUUUGCUGUCCUGGGGGUUGAAUACAGCCAGCUGGACAAAUAGUGUGUCCACAUGUUUACUCUCACACAAAAGUCAAACACGUGUAUAGACUUGCGUGCAUAUAAAUGAAUGUGAAUGUCGCUACAGCUCUGGAUGUUAUAAAAAGGAAAAAAAACCAUUAAUACAGCACUAAGACAAUAUCGUGAGCUGUGCUGUCACAUUCAGUUUUUCGAGUAUUUCCAGUGUUUGUUAAAAGAUAAAAUACUGUGUUUUAAAGCAGCCAUGUCAUUAUUUUUUCGGUCUUUACACAUGAAAGCCUCUUAUAUUAGUACGUCAAUACUUGACUCUGGAUAUAUCCAGAAUGGAUCUUGAGCGUAGCGCAAACAACAUGGAAACCUUGCAAAACCUUUCACACGGUCAUGUAAUUCUAUAAACAGGUUUUGCAAAUCCCCCACUUUUCACAACUCUACAGGCCACACAGAUGAGGGUUAUUUUACUCAUGUUGUUUAGCUGCUGCUGUCUGAAGCUAACAUCCUGGGACAGAGGUUGACUGCUAUCACAUAUACUCAAGAUAAGCUGCCAGCUGAAGCGGAUAGCUUCACUCGGCUCAGCGAGAUGAUUGCUGUUUUAAAUAAACAGAAACGAGCUGCGACACACCUGUGAGUAACUGGAGGAACUUCAAGACGUCCAGGGUAUGUGGAGCAGAUGAUUGAGGUGUCAGUAGUACAUAAAGUACCUAUAAUUACACUUAAUUCUGUCUUUUGUCUUUUGUUUUCUGCUGGCAGGAAAGCCUCUUAUCCCAACAACGAUGUUUGGAUCGACACCUGGAAUGGCAGGCGAGCUCAGGAGCUGUAUGGAGUCACAUGUCCUUUCUUGUGUCCAGAGUGUGAAGCAGAUUAAAUGAACUGUCAUCGAUCGA